rnacentral:rRNA from 1 species
GAUGAACGCUGGCGGUCUGCUUAACACAUGCAAGUCGAACGGAAUCCUUCGGGAUUUAGUGGCGGACGGGUGAGUAACGCGUGAGAAUCUGCCUUCAGGUUCGGGACAACAGCUGGAAACGGCUGCUAAUACCGGAUGUGCCGAGAGGUGAAAGCUUUAGUGCCUGAAGAUGAGCUUGCGUCUGAUUAGCUAGUAGGAGUGGUAAUGGCACCCCUAGGCGACGAUCAGUAGCUGGUCUGAGAGGAUGAUCAGCCACACUGGGACUGAGACACGGCCCAGACUCCGACGGGAGGCAGCAGUGGGGGAAUUUUCCGCAAUGGGCGCAAGCCUGACGGAGCAAGACCGCGUGAGGGAAGAAGGUCUGUGGAUUGUAAACCUCUUUUGAUGGGGAAGAAGACAGUGACGGUACCCAUCGAAUCAGCCUCGGCUAACUCCGUGCCAGCCGCCGCGGUAA